UGACUUCUUGUUUUAUGUCUCCCUAUAUAUAAUUCUUCUUGUGAUUGCAUACUGAUCUUGUGUCAAGUUAUCUAAACCGAUUGCAAUCAUAUUGUCUGUAUGCCUUGUCAUUCCCCAUCCGAUUCAUUGUGGUUUAAAAAGAAAGAUAUACCAUAAAAGUUCUUAAAACAAUUAAUUGUAGAUCAAUGAUAUUUUAUGAUCUUAAGUACAUUUAAUAGGAAACAAAAUGGAACAUGACUCUAGUCAAUUGAAUCUGAUUUAUAUUAGGAUGGAGAACCCACUAUACAAGCUAAGCCAUAUUAACGAUUUCCAGUUUGGAAAGAAAGGCCAUUAUAAUUUCAGCAACUGAAGUAUUAAGAGAUUCAGAAAUGUACCUUAUUUCUUUUAUAGGUUAGUUUUGAAUUUUGGGAUUCUUGGUUUAUGCCCCUACAGGAACAGGCUGAAGAAGUUUGUGACAAGGUGGUGUAUCUCCAUGGCCACCUUCGGUGGUUCCAUUGUUUUGUUUUCUAAGUUUGAUUUUGCCUAGUGACUACUUCAUAAUCAAAUCGACAGGUGAAGAAAAUGAAAGAACUCAGCAAGGGUUUCAACAUAGUUGGUCUCUCCCAGCAGUUUGUUUCUUGUGGAAUACAGGCAUGUGAAGAUUGCAAUUUACU